AUGAACGCUGGCGGCGUGCUUAAUACAUGCAAGUCGAGCGAUCGGACGAGGGAGCUUGCUCCCUCGUUACGGAGCGGCGAACGGGUGAGUAACACGUGAGCAAUCUGCCUCGGAGACGGGAAUAACGUUGGGAAACCAGCGCUAAUACCCGAUGACCCGGCAGGGGGGCAUCCCCCGGCCGGCAAACGUUCCGGCGCUCCGAGAGGAGCUCACGGCCUAUCAGCUUGUUGGCGGUGGUAACGGCCCACCAAGGCUUCGACGGGUAUCUGGCGUGAGAGCGCGACCAGACACACCGGGACUGAGAUACGGCCCGGACUCCUACGGGAGGCAGCAGUAGGGAAUGUUGGACAAUGGGCGAAAGCCUGAUCCAGCGACGCCGCGUGAGGGAUGAAGGCCUUCGGGUUGUAAACCUCUGUUGUUGGGAAAGAAGCCGGGUGCAUAACCCGGUGACGGUACCCAACGAGGAAGCCCCGGCUAACUACGUGCCAGCAGCCGCGGUGAGACGUAGGGGGCGAGCGUUAUCCGGAUUCACUGGGCGUAAAGGGCGCGUAGGCGGUUACGCAAGUCGGAUGUGAAAAGUCAUGGCUCAACUGUGAUCGUGCAUCCGAAACUGCGUUGACUUGAGGUCGGUAGAGGCAAGUGGAACUAGCGGUGUAGCGGUGAAAUGCCGUAUGAUAUCGAUAGAGAACGCCAGUGGUGAAGGACGAAUAUGCUAGGACUUGUACUGACGCUGAUGAGCGAAAGCUAGGGGAGCGAACCGGAUUAGAUACCCGGGUAGUCCUAGCCGUAAACGGUGGUGACCUAGCUGUGGGGGAGUAUGUCCUACUGGCCGUAGCUAACGCAUUAAGUAUUCCCGCCUGGGGAGUACGACCGCAAGGUUAAAACUCAAAGGAAUUGACGGGGAAACGCACAACCAGCGUCCCAUGUGGUUUAAUUCGAUACGGAACGAAGCACCUUACCUGGAUUUGACAUGCUAGAGUUCUAUCUCCUGGAAACAGGAGAAAUCCGCAAGGAGGCUAGCACAGCUGCUGCAUGGUUGUCGUCAGUUCGUGUCGUGAGGCGUCCGCUUAAGUGCGGUAACGAACGCAACCCCUGUCCCGUGUUAAAUAUUCACGGGAGACUGCCUUGGUUUCACUAAGGAGGAAGGAGGGGAUGACGUCAAAUCAGCAUGGCGCUUACAUCCAGGGCCACACGCAUGGGGUAAUGGCAAGUACAACGGGUCGCGAAAGAGUAAUCUGGAGCUAAUCCUAAUAAAGCUUGCCUCAGUUCGGAUUGUGGGCUGCAACUCGCCCACAUGAAGGGGAGUUGGUAGUAAUCGCGGGUCAGCUAUACCGCGGUGAAUACGUUCUCGUUUCUUGUACACAUCGCCCGUCAAGUCAACAAAGUCAGCAGCGCCCGAAACCGGGAUCCUCAACCGCAAGGGGAGGACCGUCUAAGGUGAGGUUGGCGAUGGGGGCU
rnacentral:rRNA from 1 species